ensembl:antisense Gm15857 predicted gene 15857
ACGAUACACUGUUAGUUCUAUAUAUGCUGUUAGUUUAAGGGAACUAAAUAGCACAAUGACAUCCUUACCAGCCCCUGCUCUCUUCGGACCCACACUGCCUGCUGAGGGGACAGGGAAGAUGGAAUUGUCUAUGAACAACAGACAAGAAAAAAGUCUGCGAAUGCCUUGGGCGGGAUGUGUGAGAUUCCUCGAUGUCAGGCCCACAGACUGGAAUGAGACGCCACCCUCUGUUGCCGACAUCCCUAAAUACAGCCAAGGCGCUGGGAACUGAUUGAAAUGGAAACACAACGGUUCUUUGGAAAAUCUGUCGGGUGGCGUUUUGCUGGGGCAAACACGUGAAGGAACAUUUCGUUAAAGUGGACACAGGUGUGAAGGGCUCAGGCCAACUCGUGAAGGAACGUUUCCCUGAAGCAGACCCAGGAGAGAGGAUAUUCUGCUAAAGCAAGCAUGUGAAAGGACACUGAAGGACUCUUUGCUAACAACACUCAGGUAUUGGUCCACCUUACACUGCAUAGUUGAGCUGCAUUUGUCAGGACUCCAUAGAGAGAAACGCACCAAAAAACAUCUGGUGAUGUACUGCAGUUUCUUGCUGCUUCUGUGCACUCUGGCUGAUUAGAUGCAUAUGCUGAGGCAAGACCUGUGGAGGUUAGGAGAGGGCAAUGCUUGCAGGUCUCUCGUCUUUGCUGAUCUUCGCUUCCCUGAGAGAGGCACGGCCAAGAACUUCUCCUGGUGUUCCUGUCCGUCCCUCCUGCUGACUCGAGCCUAGACUGAGGCCUGGCUGUCUCUGCU